rnacentral:misc_RNA from 1 species
AAAGUCGUAACAAGGUUUCCGUAGGUGAACCUGCGGAAGGAAAGCGAAAGCAAGUUCAUUCCCAUUGAGUUACUCACCAUCGGUUGUGAAACCUUAUUAACCCUAUGUACCUUUUGAACUAAACUAUUCUUCGAUACCACAGAAGCCUUGUUGGCUUAGCCACGGCUGAAGGGUUCGUAGAAAUUGAUACCAAAUUAAGAACAAUUCUUAACAACGGAUAUCUUGGUUCUC